rnacentral:tRNA from 1 species
CCUGGUAGCUCAGAUGGUAAAGCAUCUGCUUAAAAUGCAGGAGACCCGGGUUUGAUCCCUGGGUCAGGA